CAGGUGGGCGGAGGCGUUAGAAGAGGAAAGUCAGCAGUUGCAAUCGACGACGAGAACUGAAAGAGGGAGCAGCACAGCAGAAAGGAAAAGAUAAGAUGUGCGGUAGAGCGCGUUGCACUCUCAGAGCCGACGACAUCCCCAGGGCAUGCCACCGCAACACCGCCACCGUCCGCUCCGUCAAUAUGGACCGGUACCGCCCAUCCUACAACGCAUCACCGGGUUCGAAUUUGGCGGUUGUCCGUAGAGACGACGCAGCCAGUGGCGAUGGCGCCAGCGGUGGGGACGGUUAUGCUAUCCACUGUAUGAAGUGGGGAUUAAUUCCUGGUUUCACUAAGAAAUCUGAGAAACCAGAUUUCUACAAGAUGUUUAAUGCACGAUCUGAAUCACUGAGCGAAAAGGCUUCUUUUCGUCGCCUGAUUCCGAAAAGCAGGUGUCUUGUUGCAGUAGAAGGAUUCUAUGAGUGGAAAAAAGAUGGGUCAAAAAAGCAGCCCUACUACAUUCAUUUCAAGGAUGGUCGGCCUCUUGUGUUUGCUGCUCUUUAUGAUUCAUGGCAAAACUCUGAAGGCGAGAUACUUUACACCUUUACUAUAGUCACUACUGCUGCAUCUUCAGCUAUACAAUGGUUGCAUGAGAGGAUGCCUGUUAUUUUGGGUGACAAGGAAGCAACUGACACAUGGUUAAGUGUUUCUUCCAAUUCCAAAUUUGAUACGGUGCUUAAGCCUUAUGAACAUUCUGAUUUGGUAUGGUACCCAGUGACACCUGCGAUGGGUAAGCCAUCUUUUGAUGGACCAGAGUGCAUUAAAGAGAUACAUUUGAAGAUGGAGGAAAAGGGUACUAUCUCAAAGUUCUUCUCACGAAAGGAAUUUAAAGAAGAAUCAAAUCCUGAAGAAAGUACACAUGGCAAAUCUCUCAAGUUGGAGCCAAAAAGUGUGAAAGAGGAGAAUGAAAGCGAAGAGAAGUUAGAAACUCCAUGCUCCGCUAAAACAGUGGACUAUGAUUUGAAAUCAGAACUUGAAACUUUUUCACAUGAGGGUGAAACGAAGUGCAAAACAAAACGCGACCGUGAGGAGUUGGUUGAUUCAAAGCUGAAGACAGAUGAAAUUGUCAAACCACGGGCAAGUCCAGCAAAGAAGAAGGCCAAUCUCAAGAGCGUUGAUGAUAAACAGCCAACACUUCUUUCAUACUUCGGCAAAAAAUAGGAUUCGGGCACCCUGAAAUUCAAAAAUCACGAGCAACAUGUAUAUAGACACACUUCCAACACUAAUUUCCUUGUGGUUGUCAUCUCUGAGAUCUAGAUGAGAGCUUUAUUGUACAACACAAGCCUACAGCACAGUUCAGCAUGGGAGGUUGUGUUUUGACCCUUUUUUUUGCAUGAAUCUGUGGGUACUUUAGCUAGCACCUCCAAUUGGUACCCUGUAAGCACAAGGGAGUUGGCAGUUUUUAGAUUGCCUCGGCAAACACAAGGAUAUAUAGUAUUGAUCAGAGAAAAUAAUUAGAGCCUUUUCUAUUUACAUGCUGGAGAAAAGAGAAGGCUCGAUUGCGUGACUGCUGCUUGCCUACUACCGUGGCGCAGAACUAUAAUAUGCAUGUUGGGUUGAGCAAGCAACUAGAGGGACGAAGAAUGGAAUUGGAGGCUAUGCUGUCUGUCUCUGGUUGUCGAGCAGGGCAAGUUUGGGACGCUAAAAUUAUGGGAUAAAUUGAGCAAAUUAGCACAUAUAAUAAAAAAUAUAGGUGAAUUGACAUAGAAGCAAAUUUUUUUUUUUGAUAAAAUAACAUGGUUUGAUCUUGCCGUGUUUUAGAAUAGCAACAUUUAGUAAAUGUUGCGCUUCUGAAACGUGAUAUGAUUAAAUUAUGUUAUUUCUAACUCAAUCAAUUAAUCAAUUUGUAAUGAUGAGUGAAA